rnacentral:lncRNA from 1 species
UAGCCGUCCACGUGGCCGGCCAGUCGCCGCCUCCCGACCGCCUCGGUGUCCCUGCCCUCCGACGACCCCGCUUUGUGUGACGGCCAGGGGAGCGCCAGCACCCCCACUUUAGUAGUCUUAAUCCUGUUUGACCAGAGGAAGGUUUUUGCCAACCGGGUCCUUAAAUGCCAGCCUGAGGCCAAUCUUGAAAGCUGACUGUUUAAGGACUGCAGUGUCUGGUCAGCUGUGGGAACUCUGACUGCACAAGGGGAAUGAGGAAAAGGGAAAUGUAAAGGGCGACAUCCAGGUGUCUUCUGUAAGUCUGAAGAAGGUCAGUGUCACGAAGAUGGAGGAAACAAAUACU